rnacentral:misc_RNA from 1 species
GGAAGUAAAAGUCGUAGCGAGGUCUCCGUUGGUGAACCAGCGGAGGGAUCAUUACAGGACUCGCAAGACUCCUACAACCCUGUGAACUUAACUAUAAGCACGUUGCUUCGGCGGGUGUCUCGGAGGGGGUUCUCCCUCCCCGAGACGCUAAACCCGCCGGCAGCCUACUAUACUCUGUCUCUUUGCGUUGGCAUCUCGAGUACAAUCAAACAAGUUAAAACUUUCAACAACGGAUCUCUUGGUUCUG